GUGGACAUUGGUUGUUGCUCGCAAUCAAUCCUAUCCGAGAAAUUGUGUAUUAUCUUGACUCGUUAGGAAAUGAUUGGACAAUAUACCCGGAUAUGAAGGUCCUAAUUGACACCGUCCUACAAGCUUUUCGGGCCGAACGAGAUAUCCAAACCUCAAGGAGGGGCGCCAACUCCAUUACAUGGAUUAAAGUGGCGUGUCCUCAACAACGUAAUCAAAUAGAUUGCGGGUAUUUCAUGUUGAGGUUUAUGCGAGAUACUCUUGCUUUGGGCCGAUUAAAGAUUCCC